GGUUAAGCGACUAAGCGUACACGGUGGAUGCCCUGGCAGUCAGAGGCGAUGAAGGGCGUGCUAAUCUGCGAUAAGCGCCGGUAAGGUGAUAUGAACCGUUAUAACCGGCGAUACCCGAAUGGGGAAACCCAGUGUGAUUCGUCACACUAUCAUUAACUGAAUCCAUAGGUUAAUGAGGCGAACCGGGGGAACUGAAACAUCUAAGUACCCCGAGGAAAAGAAAUCAACCGAGAUUCCCCCAGUAGCGGCGAGCGAACGGGGAGGAGCCCAGAGCCUGAAUCAGCAUGUGUGUUAGUGGAAGCGUCUGGAAAGGCGCGCGAUACAGGGUGACAGCCCCGUACACAAAAGCGCAUGUGUUGUGAGCUCGAUGAGUAGGGCGGGACACGUGGUAUCCUGUCUGAAUAUGGGGGGACCAUCCUCCAAGGCUAAAUACUCCUGACUGACCGAUAGUGAACCAGUACCGUGAGGGAAAGGCGAAAAGAACCCCGGCGAGGGGAGUGAAAAAGAACCUGAAACCGUGUACGUACAAGCAGUGGGAGCACAGGUUUACCUGUGUGACUGCGUACCUUUUGUAUAAUGGGUCAGCGACUUAUAUUCUGUAGCA
rnacentral:rRNA from 1 species